rnacentral:rRNA from 1 species
GAUGAACGCUGGCGGCGUGCCUAAUACAUGCCAGUCGAGCGAACAGACGAGGAGCUUGCUCCUCUGACGUUAGCGGCGGACGGGUGAGUAACACGUGGAUAACCUACCUAUAAGACUGGGAUAACUUCGGGAAACCGGAGCUAAUACCGGAUAAUAUAUUGAACCGCAUGGUUCAAUAGUGAAAGACGGUUUUGCUGUCACUUAUAGAUGGAUCCGCGCCGCAUUAGCUAGUUGGUAAGGUAACGGCUUACCAAGGCAACGAUGCGUAGCCGACCUGAGAGGGUGAUCGGCCACACUGGGACUGAGACACGGUCCAGACUCCUACGGGAGGCAGCGGUAGGGAAUCUUCCGCAAUGGGCGGAAGCCUGACGGAGCAACGCCGCGUGAGUGAUGAAGGUCUUCGGAUCGUAAAACUCUGUUAUUAGGGAAGAACAAAUGUGUAAGUAACCAUGCACGUCUUGACGGUACCUAAUCAGAAAGCCACGGCUAACUACGUG